AGAGUUUGAUUCUGGCUCAGAACGAACGCUGGCGGCGUGGAUAAGACAUGCAAGUCGAGCGCUGAUUUGAGGGUAGCAAUAUUUUCAAGUCGGAGCGGCGCAAGGGUGCGUAACACGUGGGAAUCUGCCUUGAAGUGUGGGAUAACUCCGAGAAAUCGGAGCUAAUACCGCAUGUGAUCGUGAGAUCAAAGUUGGGGAUCGCAAGACCUGACGCUUCAAGAUGAGCCCGCGGCCUAUCAGCUAGUUGGCGAGGUAAAAGCUCACCAAGGCUAAGACGGGUAGCUGGUCUGAGAGGACGACCAGCCACACUGGAACUGAGACACGGUCCAGACACCUACGGGUGGCAGCAGUCGAGAAUUUUUCUCAAUGGGCGAAAGCCUGAAGGAGCGACGCCGCGUGGGGGAUGAAUGGCUUCGGCCCGUAAACCCCUGUCAUUUGCGAACAAAUUGACUCACCUAACACGUGUGUCAUUGAUUGUAGCGGAAGAGGAAGGGACGGCUAACUCUGUGCCAGCAGCCGCGGUAAUACAGAGGUCCCAAGCGUUGUUCGGAUUCACUGGGCGUAAAGGGUGCGUAGGCGGUUGGGUAAGUCUGACGUGAAAUCUCCGGGCCUAACCCGGAAACUGCGUUGGAUACUAUCCGGCUAGAGGAAUGGAGGGGAGACUGGAAUACUUGGUGUAGCAGUGAAAUGCGUAGAUAUCAAGUGGAACACCAGUGGCGAAGGCGAGUCUCUGGACAUUUCCUGACGCUGAGGCACGAAAGCCAGGGGAGCAAACGGGAUUAGAUACCCCGGUAGUCCUGGCCCUAAACGGUGCACGUUUGCUGUAAGUGGAAUCGANCCCACUUGUGGCGUAGUUAACACGA
rnacentral:rRNA from 1 species